rnacentral:rRNA from 1 species
GACAGAGGUGCCGAGCGUUAGGCGGAAUCACUGGGCUUAAAGCGUGUGUAGGCGGACCGUUAAGUGUCUUGUGAAAUCCCACGGCUCAACCGUGGAACGGCUGGGCAUACUGGCGGUCUUGAGAGGCCUAGGGGGCGAGCGGAACAGGCGGUGGAGCGGUGAAAUGCGUAGAUAUCGCCUGGAACGCGACGUGAAAACAGCUCGCUGGGGGGCCUUCUGACGCUGAGACAGAAAACCCAGGGGGAG